rnacentral:rRNA from 1 species
UACGUAGGGCGCAAGCGUUGUCCGGAAUUAUUGGGCGUAAAGAGCGCGUAGGCGGCCUGUCGCGUCUGCUGUGAAAUCCCGGGGCUUAACCCCGGGCGUGCAGUGGAUACGGGCUGGCUGGAGGCAGGCAGGGGAGAACGGAAUUCCCGGUGUAGCGGUGAAAUGCGCAGAUAUCGGGAGGAACACCGGUGGCGAAGGCGGUUCUCUGGGCCUGUACUGACGCUGAGGAGCGAAAGCGUGGGGAGCGAACAGG